rnacentral:rRNA from 1 species
AUUGAACGCUGGCGGCAUGCUUUACACAUGCAAGUCGAACGGUAACAGGGUGCUUGCACCGCUGACGAGUGGCGAACGGGUGAGUAAUGCGUCGGAACGUGCCCAGUCGUGGGGGAUAACUACUCGAAAGAGUGGCUAAUACCGCAUACGACCUGAGGGUGAAAGCGGGGGACCGUAAGGCCUCGCGCGAUUGGAGCGGCCGAUAUCAGAUUAGCUAGUUGGUGGGGUAAAAGCCCACCAAGGCGACGAUCUGUAGCUGGUCUGAGAGGACGACCAGCCACACUGGGACUGAGACACGGCCCAGACUCCUACGGGAGGCAGCAGUGGGGAAUUUUGGACAAUGGACGCAAGUCUGAUCCAGCCAUGCCGCGUGCGGGAAGAAGGCCUUCGGGUUGUAAACCGUUUUAUAUCAGGGAAGAAAUCCUCUAGGUUAAUACCCUUGGGGGGAUGACGGUACCUGAAGAAUAAGCACCGGCUAACUACGUGCCAGCAGCCGCGGUAACAC